CACGCAGAGUGGAAUUAGAGUAAUUGGGAAAAACGCAAUGGCUCAAAAGAUGUUGAUGGUGGCGGUCCUUGUGAUAUUGGGGACGAAGAUGGCGACGGUUACGGUUGCGAAUCCGACCUGUUUGCCCUGUGCUCCUUACUUCAACAACGCCACUCUCCAACUGCAAGACAAUUGCUGUGACCCUCUCAAACAAGCGCCAGUUGCUACUCAAAGGCAGCCUCUUUAACAACCCUACUUUGCUUACUUCUUUCAACAUCCCCAUCGAUGGAGCUCUUAGGAUCACUCGUCAGUGCGGUGUCACUGAUGAGAUCAACGGCUGCAUCCCCGGAAUAUAACAGCUGCUUGAAUAGUACGAUAUGGCUGAACCAUAUCAUUAUGUGUUCAUACCACACCAUCUCCUUCCCCAUCAGCUACUUCUCCCACAUCUGCUCCACCCACUACCAGGUAGCAUACUUGUUUUAUUCGAUUAUCUCUCUAUAUUUAUUUGUAUACUUGUUUGGUCAAUGUUAUUAGCAUAUACAUUAUUUAUUCAGUCAAUUUUAUUAUUUUUGU